GAGCAGGAAAGAUUGCAGCUGACCCCUCCUUUCUCGUGUGUGCAAUAAAGCUUCUUCUGAUUCUGAUUCUGAUGAACAUCCUUUUGAUGCAUCAAUAAUACUGAUUUCAUUGCUACAACCACAGCUUUAUGGUUUAUCUAAUUAUAUUAACUUUAACGACAGAAAAGCAGCCAACAUUGAGGUCAGGGUCUAUGGGGUACAACUGAAAAUAAGCUUGACUCAAUCAUUUUGUAAAAGCUCUAUGCUGUUACACCUCAUGUUGGUGGACCCAAGAGCCAACACAGAACACAGCAGGCGAUGUGAAAGUGAGCAGUUUUUAUAAACAAACGUGUUGAUGAAGAGGUAUGUGGUUGGGCAGACUCGUCAUAGACGCUGGUAGUCUUACCACCAUGGGGUUAAUAACCUUGUUAAUCACAAACGGAUCCACAAAACAAGGUGCCAACUUAUGUCUGGUGCACACCGAUUUUAAAAUCUUAAUCAAUUUUAAAAACAUGGGAUACCACAGACAUAACAAACCGAUUUUAAUUACGCACAUACAGGAGGAAGGGUGAUGAAGCUGAAAUGCAGCACAGUCCAGUGACACCUUUAUCCAAAGCGACUUACAAUUGCUAUACAAGCAACAAGGGUUAAGUGUCUUGCUCAGGGACACAAUGGUGGAUGGGUAACAGUGGAGGAUUGAACCCGGAUCUCUCACACCAAAGGGCGGAGUUGUGGGCUGCACCACUGGGCGGUUCUCCCCAACUGCAGGCAAUCUGCUGCUCACACACCUGUCUCCUGUCAUCAUCAGGACUGGCUUUUAUACCCUGCCAUCUUCUCAGUUCCUUGCUGAAUUAUUAAGUCUAGUUUUGUUCUUGGAGAACCCUGCUCUGCUCUCGUGCCGCUCUGUUACGGAAGACGGCUGGAGAUUCCCCAUCGCAAACUCACUUCUCUGCCAGCCCUAUUUAACUGCCCUGCCAGGCCUCGCACUUACCUGCCACGCCACGCCACACCAGAGGAACCUUAGCCCCAGCAUCAAGCCUAUCUCACCAUAUCUUGUGUCAAACUGUGGGAAAAUCCUCCUGAGCCAUGUUCUUGUCUGCAUCUGGGUUCUGAGCCACGAGACAGUAAAGCAAAUUGUGGGCUAUUCAUUAUUUAUUUAGUUCUUUCAAUCACAGGUGGAGACCAUACAUAAAGUGAUCAAGAAAAAAGGUCCUCAAGUAUAGACGUACAAGGUGUGUGUAUGUGUUUAUAUUUAAAUGAUUAAUUAUGUUGUUGGGGAUGGAAACUUGUGAGGACAAAAAGCUGGUCCCCACAAGGAUACCUACUUUUUCUUUCUUUUUUUUUUUUUUUUUUUUUUUAACUUUUUCCAAAUAAACUACCUUGGUGUUUCUUCUGAAGUGUUCUGAAAGUUCACAGUAAGUAGGUAAGUCCAUGUUUGUCAGUAGGAAAAACAUGGACUUAGAACUUUGAUUAAAUGAUCCUAUUAAGUAGGUUGCUUAAAUGAUUCAUCGAGACUGAAACCGACCUGCUGGAUGAGAGUAUAUGGUAUAAGGGAAUCCCAAAAGGUAAAUUUUAAAUUUGUAAAUGCCCCAACGGAGUCAGACUGAUAUCAGUAGGAAGGUUAUGUAUCUGUGAGUUUGACAAAUAGCUUUUGUUUCACACUUUGAACAAGGAUUUUCAUCUUUAAUGUUUAAACCUCAACUCUUGGUUAUGAAAAGCUUUUAACUGGCGAGGCAGUAGUUAGGGAAGCCCUGUAUCUAACUGUGUUACAGUGACUGAUACUUAUUUUAUUAAAUAUCGCCUGCUAUUAAUUUUUUUUGGCCUCUGUGUCAUUUAGCUUCAGUUUGACAGAAUACUUGAACUUAUGUUUGCAUUGUGCAACACAGCCCUGUGCAAACAGAAUUACAUAAGGAUUCAAGUAAAUGAUUUAUUUAAUAGCAGCCAGCAGUACAUUUACAUUACAUUUAUUUAUUUAGCUGAUGCUUUCUGCUAUCGAUUGCUGUUCUGAAAAGUUACAGCUUAUAGGACGAAGACAAGAAACACCUACAAGCGAAAGAGGUGGCGUAAGCUAGAUAACAGUUCUGGUCUAUCUCUGAGUGACAUUUGUCAAGCUUUUAUCGUCAGUCAAUUCUGGAUUCAUUGUAGUGCAUGUAUUGACUCCUUGAAAGUAAACAAUCAUUAAUUAAGA